rnacentral:tRNA from 1 species
UGUGACUAAGUGGGUAGAGUACAUGUUUGUCAAACUUAAGACCCCAGGUUCAAUCCCUGGUA